CCUACGGGAGGCAGCAGUGGGGAAUAUUGCACAAUGGGGGAAACCCUGAUGCAGCGACGCCGCGUGAAGGAAGAAGUAUUUCUGUAUGUAAACUUCUAUCAGCAGGGAAGAAAAUGACGGUACCUGACUAAUAAUCUCCGGCUAACUACGUGCCAGCAGCCGCGGUAAUACGUAGGGGGCAAGCGUUAUCCGGAUUUACUGGGUGUAAAGGGAGCGUAGGCGGUUUAGCAAGUCAGAAGGGAAAGCCCGGGGCUCAACUACGAGACUGCUUUUGAAACUGUUGAACUAGAUUGUAGGAGAGGUAAGCGGAAUUCGUAGUGUAGCGGUGAAAUGCGUAGAUAUUAGGAGGAACACCAGUGGCGAAGGCGGCUUACUGGACUAUAACUGACGUUGAGGCACGAAAGCGUGGGGAGCAAACAGGAUUAGAUACCCGGGUAGUC
rnacentral:rRNA from 1 species